UACGUAGGGGGCCAGCGUUGUCCGGAUUUAUUGGGCGUAAAGAGCGUGUAGGCGGCCAGACAGGUCCGUUGUGAAAACUCGAGGCUCAACCUCGAGACGCCGAUGGAAACCGUCUGGCUAGAGUCCGGAAGAGGAGAGUGGAAUUCCUGGUGUAGCGGUGAAAUGCGCAGAUAUCAGGAAGAACACCCGUGGCUAAGGCGGCUCUCUAGUACGGUACUGACGCUGAGACGCGAAAGCGUGGGGAGCGAACAGG
rnacentral:rRNA from 1 species